CUAAAACAAGCCUUAUCAUGCGGUUACAACACAUCCUGCACGCAUUUUGGGUUGUCUUUAUUAAAUGGUACAGAGUGCUUCUGAGACGAUGCCUCAAUCAUCUUCAUGUAUCGGGAUUCUUGAUUUUCUUCGCGGAAAGAACUACUUCAUCACUGGCGCAACUGGCUUUGUAGCUAAAGUUUUAAUCGAGAAGAUACUGCGAGCAGUUCCUAAAGUGGGAAGAAUUUAUCUCUUGAUAAAGGAGAAAGACAAGGACGCUGCUGUGGAAAGAUUGAAAAAUGAGGUCAUAGGUGAGGAGCUGUUCAAGUGCUUGAAACAAAUUCAUGGAAAAUCUUAUGAAGCGUUCAUGAUGAGUAAGCUAGUUCCAUUGUCUGGGAAUCUAUGUGAAUAUAAUCUAGGGAUGGAUUCUGAUACAGCUACUGAAAUUGCAAGACAUGUCCAUGUGAUUGUGAACUCAGCAGCCAACACAACACUUGAUGAAAGGUAUGAUGUCGCUCUUAACGUAAACACCCAAGGACCUGCUUGGUUAUUAGACUUUGCAAAGAAGUGCAAAAACCUUAAACUGUUCUUACAUGUUUCCUCUGCGUAUGUUAAUGGGGAAAGAGAAGGAAUAAUCUUGGAGAGGCCUUUCCAUCUGGGACAAAGCAUAGCAGAGGAAAGGAUCCCCCCAACUUCUGUCCCUUGGUUGGAUGUCAGUGCUGAGAUCAAGUUGGCUUCUGAUAUGAUGGAAUCUCUCGGGGAUGAUAAUGAAGGAGCUCAAAAAAUGAGAGAUCUGGGGAGGGAGAGGUUUACACAUAUAUACAUACUCAAAGUGCCUGCUGUGAAAAAUUAUUCCUACAAAUAAAAUUAAAGAAAACCAACAACACCAUAUUUAAUUAUCUUCUUCUUUUUGGCUAAUUAUUGCAUGAAUGACUAUGAUGAAUUGAGACAGGGCAAGAAUCUAUGGAUGGCAAAACACGUACGUUUUCACCAAAGCCAUGGGUGAGAUGCUAAUCAAUAGCAAGAGAGAGAAUCUACCAAUUGUGAUCAUCCGCCCAAGCAUUAUUGAGAGCACCUACUCAGAGCCCUUCCCUGGAUGGAUACAAGAAAACAGAGUAACUGACCCAGUGUUCAUAUCAUAUGGGAAAGGUCAGCUUCCAGGUUUUGUUGGGAACCCCAAAACAGUUCUUGACAUUGUAAGCAGCUUAUGAAUUUGUGCGCUAAUAACCUUAUUUAUCCAUGCUUUCCUGCACUCAUCACGAAGUAUAUGUUUAAUGCAAAUCUAGAUACCUGUGGAUAUGGUGGUGAAUGCCAUUAUAGCAGCCGUGGCAAAGCAUGGGACUGUUGGUAAAGCACAACUACGUGUGUACCAUGUUACAUCAUCUGUCUCUAAUCCUAUUUCCUUUGGCCAAGUAUUCGACUUUGCCUGUGAUCACUUCACUUCUUUUCCACUACUGAACUCAAAAGGGAAAAUUAAGGAAUUCAAGUAUUUCAGCUCAAUGGACAGUUUUUCUUCUUACAUUAGGGACGAAACAGAACAGCAAAUUGGACUAAACGAAGAUCUAUCCACUUUAGAUCCCAAGUUGCGUCUCCAGAUGCGAACAGAAUGUGCCAAUAGGCUUCAGCGAUUCGCCCGCAUGGCUGAAUUAUAUGAACCCUAUGCAUUUUAUAAAGGAUGGUUCGACUGCAGCAACAUUAAGGAAUUGAUCCAAAACAUGUCGACUCAAGAGAAGAAAUUGUUUCGAUUUGAUGUGGAGAGCAUAAAUUGGAAGCAUUACAUAAAAAACGUUCACCUUCCAGGCCUGCGGAGGCAUGUUAUGAAAGAAAAGCUUGUAGCAGUUGCAAGAUUGUGAUAAUCUAGGCAGUAAGAAAUAGCUGUGAACCCUCAAGCCUGUGAAGAAAUUGGCCUUUGUUCGCUUACACAUUCUGUUAGAAUAUAAUGGUGUUUGUAUGAUUUGUACGUGUAAUAUAACAUCAUAUCAAUGACCUUGUAUAAAAAGAAUAUUGGAAUAAAUUUCUCUGAGCAUAGAACAAACAUUGGCUACGACUUCUGAGAAUGAAGAAAAUAAAUAAACUAUACCCUGAACUUGGUUGAUCUGAUCUGAUAUUCAGAAACUUCUUCCUCUAGCUAAGUGGAAUGCUGGAUGUUAGUUCUCGCGCAGAUAAUCGAGGUGCAGUGAUUACUCCAACAAACUGGCCCCUCUAGUACAUUAUUAUUCCAAAAGUGGUUCCAUCAAAGGUUUGGAGCAGGGUGUGUUGAGUUUCAUAGUGUAUGUAACAGCCACACCAACAAGCGAACAGAAGGCUGGAACUAGACCCAAACCACAUCUUGUGACUGAAAUAUAAUUUGUGGAAAGGGAAUUCUGGACUUUAGGUGACAUGCCUGCAACAAAAGGCACAGUUUUAAGUAGGAAUAGGGGACUAUAGAUAAGGAACCGUGUUUACUGAAUCUACCAUGCAUAUAAAACAACAUACGUUGCCUUAUUUUCGUUCUCUCCCUUUUGUAGGAGAAGAAAAGGUUGGAACAGGCCUUGCAAUUGAAGACAACUUACUUUGAAAUGAUUGAAGAGCAUACAGAGCCAGACCACAUGAAAUCUUGUCUACGAAGCUUAACGAACCACAUACAAAUGCACAGCCAUUGAGGUCUGAACCAACGAGAACACUCUGCAUGCUUAUUCCAGUUACCUAUUAUUCAUAUUUGCAGAAGAAAGGGAGGGGUUUUGGUUGGGGGGCGGGGUUGUGUUUGGGGGGUUGGUGUGAGAGGAGGGAGAACCAACAAGAGCAGCAAAAAUUAAGUAAUCUGUAACUGCUAAGAUUAGGUGCAUUUCAGGAAAAAAUAUAUAUACAAAAGAAAUGAGAAAAAAAAUAUAUAUAUUUGAGAAGUAUAAUAAGAUGAAAGCAGAAAAUCCAGGCCUUCAUCAUCAAUUUGACAAACCCAUAGUUCAUUCCAUAUUUCCACCUAUAUGCAACAGCUAAUCCAUUUCUUCCCCAACACUCUACAACUUUGAGUUUCAUAACAAUAUUUUAAAAACCAAUAAUAGCAACCCCAUUAUCAAAAAUAAUGCUAACCCAUGAUUUUGUAACCAUUUGACCCCAGCUUAUCUUGUUGAGAGAUUAUAACAUGUCACCAGAGAACAAUUAUUACAUGCACAGAAGAAGGUGGGGGAAGCAAUCAAGACUUAUCCUCACACACCAUAAUGUAGUUGAAAAAACAAUUGAUUGAUAUUCCACAUAAUAAAGCAGAGAUUAAAGCAAAGAAUCCCACAUCAUACCGUCAUUAGAGCAUUUGCUAUUCCAAUACAUAUGGAUAUGACAUACAUAAAACCGCUCAUGCUCCUAGGUAAAAGAAAGAUGCUAGCACCACAAAAUAUCCAAAGAAUGCCACCAGCAGAAUAGUAGGCUUUCAGGCGUUGUCCAGUCCAAGAUAUUUCCUGCAUAAUGAUAGAUAUGACAAAGCUGCUGAUGUAGAUAAUUGCAGGUACCAAAGCUUUAGCUGAUUGAGCCAUGCGCAAAUCAUUAAUCACAUAGAAUGCAAGAUAUGCCUGUGAAACAUUUUGUACAAGUCUGGUAAGCAAAUACACAAUUCCAACUUGAUAGUAUAAUAUUUUCUUGAACCAGUAAGUCCAUGAUACCCUUGAACAACAAUUUCCAUGUACGCUUAUCUUUAAUCUUGGCUCCUUGGUUCCAAGAUGAAAUAGUCCCACAAAGCAGCAUCCAAUAAAAAUUGACAGGUACGCAAUCCAUCGGUACUGAUUUUCAAUAUCAGCAUGUGUUUUUGCUUCACUGACAUUGAAUACUAUCAAGGCAACUGCAUAGAGGCUGAGAUUAGCAACCAUUGUAAAAGCAUUUCGACAACUUGCCAUCACCACCCUGCUUGUUGAGUUCAGGGAGAUGCAAUUCAUCAUAGACAUGUGUGAAACUUGAGUAGCAGCCCAACCCACAUUGAAGAUUGCAGCAAAGACACUAUAUGAUACCGUUUCUAUUGUUGAUGAAUGGUUAGCAAAGAUUUCACAAGGCCAGCAGCCACCGAAAACAGAAGAAAAUGAAAUGGCAACCAAAACAGAUCCUGCACCAUGCCAUAUUUUGAAAUGCCCAAACCUGUCUAUCAGUUCGCCUGAAAAUAUGGUAGCAAAUCCAUCAGCUAUCUGACCUGAAAGCAUUACUGUAGCAGCAUCUCUUGGGGACAGUCCUAUAUCUGUUAAAAACAAUAACAGAUAAGUAAACCAACAGGCAGCAGUGAUGUCAUUUAGCAUGUGGCCCACACCAUAAUAGAAAACAGAUAAUCUUCCAACAGGGUUAGGAUGUGAAAUAUCAUCUUCAAUAUCAUCACCCAUUUAUCCUACAAAGGUUAAAUCUUUAACUUCUUAAACCAUGUCCAGAAGAGUAGUUUCAGAUCUGUGGAAACCAGGAAAAGAGAACCGUGGGAGCACUGAUGAACGAAAGAGAAUCUGAAGCACAAGAUGAUGAAGGCCGAAGGAAUAAGCAACCAAUGGCUGAGAUGGUAAAUUGGAUUCACGUAAGAAUCCAAAAAUGUCAACUCUAGCUAUUAGGAGAAGAGAAGAUGAGUCGCAACCGCUGAAUCAGUCAUCAAAGCGGUGCAUUUUGUUUUCUUGUGCUCCAC
rnacentral:misc_RNA from 1 species